rnacentral:rRNA from 1 species
AUUGAACGCUGGCGGCAGGCUUAACACAUGCAAGUCGAGCGGGGAAAUAUAGCUUGCUAUAUGACCUAGCGGCGGACGGGUGAGUAAUGCUUAGGAAUCUGCCUAUUAGUGGGGGACAACAUUUCGAAAGGGAUGCUAAUACCGCAUACGCCCUACGGGGGAAAGCAGGGGAUCAUUUGACCUUGCGCUAAUAGAUGAGCCUAAGUCGGAUUAGCUAGUCGGUGGGGUAAAGGCCUACCAAGGCGACGAUCUGUAGCGGGUCUGAGAGGAUGAUCCGCCACACUGGGACUGAGACACGGCCCAGACUCCUACGGGAGGCAGCAGUGGGGAAUAUUGGACAAUGGGGGGAACCCUGAUCCAGCCAUGCCGCGUGUGUGAAGAAGGCCUUUUGGUUGUAAAGCACUUUAAGCGAGGAGGAGGCUUACUUAGUUAAUACCUGAGAUAAGUGGACGUUACUCGCAGAAUAAGCACCGGCUAACUCUGUGCCAGCAGCCGCGGUAAGAC